rnacentral:rRNA from 1 species
GGUUAAGUGACUAAGCGUACACGGUGGAUGCCUUGGCAGUUGGAGGCGAUGAAGGACGUACUAACUUGCGAUAAGCCUAGUCAAGCCAGUAAGAGGCGCUUGAGACUAGGAUUUCCGAAUGGGGGAACCCACCUGCUUGCAGGUAUCGUUAACUGAAUACAUAGGUUAACGAGGCGAACGCGGAGAACUGAAACAUCUAAGUACCCGUAGGAAAAGAAAUCAACCGAGAUUCCGAAAGUAGCGGCGAGCGAAAUCGGACCAGCCCUUAAGCUUUAGUGUGGUUAGUGGAACAUGCUGGAAAGCAUGACGAAACAGGGUGAUAGUCCCGUACACAAAAACUUAUCUAAAGUGAAAUCGAGUAGGUCGGAGCACGUGAAACUUUGACUGAAUAUGGGGGGACCAUCCUCCAAGGCUAAAUACUCCCAACUGACCGAUAGUGAACCAGUACCGUGAGGGAAAGGCGAAAAGAACCCCUGUGAGGGGAGUGAAAUAGAACCUGAAACCGUGUACGUACAAGCAGUAGGAGCCUACUUGUUGGGUGACUGCGUACCUUUUGUAUAAUGGGUCAGCGACUUAUAUUCUGUAGCGAGGUUAACCAUUUAGGGGAGCCGUAGCGAAAGCGAGUCUUAACUGGGCGCUUAAGUUGCAGGGUAUAGACCCGAAACCCGGUGAUCUAGCCAUGGGCAGGUUGAAGGUUGAGUAACAUCAACUGGAGGACCGAACCCACUAACGUUGAAAAGUUAGGGGAUGACCUGUGGCUAGGAGUGAAAGGCUAAUCAAACCGGGAGAUAGCUGGUUCUCCCCGAAAUCUAUUUAGGUAGAGCCUCGGACGAAUACUUACGGGGGUAGAGCACUGUUAAGGCUAGGGGGUCAUCCCGACUUACCAACCCUUUGCAAACUCCGAAUACCGUAAAGUAAUAUCCGGGAGACACACGGCGGGUGCUAACGUCCGUCGUGGAGAGGGAAACAACCCAGACCGUCAGCUAAGGUCCCAAAGUGUAUGUUAAGUGGGAAACGAUGUGGGAAGGCUAAAACAGCUAGGAGGUUGGCUUAGAAGCAGCCACCCUUUAAAGAAAGCGUAAUAGCUCACUAGUCGAGUCGGCCUGCGCGGAAGAUGUAACGGGGCUAAACAUACCACCGAAGCUACGGCUGCGAACUUAGUUCGCGGGGUAGGGGAGCGUUCUGUAAGUGGCUGAAGGUGUGCCGGGAGGCAUGCUGGACAUAUCAGAAGUGCGAAUGCUGACAUGAGUAACGACAAGAGGAGUGAAAAACUCCUCCGCCGGAAGACCAAGGGUUCCUAUCCCAUGUUAAUCAGGGUAGGGUGAGUCGACCCCUAAGGCGAGGCUGAAGAGCGUAGUCGAUGGGAAACGGGUUAAUAUUCCCGUACUCGGUAUGAAUGCGAUGGGGGGACGGAGCAGGCUAGGCAAGCAUGGCGUUGGUUGUCCAUGUGAAAGGCUGUAGGCUGGUGACUUAGGAAAAUCCGGGUUGCCAAGGCUGAGAGUCGAGACGAGCCACUAAGGUGGUGAAGUUGUUGAUGCCCUACUUCCAGGAAAAGCCUCUAAGCUUCAGUUCAUACUGAAUCGUACCCUAAACCGACACAGGUGGUCAGGUAGAGAAUACUAAGGCGCUUGAGAGAACUCGGGUGAAGGAACUAGGCAAAAUUGUACCGUAACUUCGGGAGAAGGUACGCUCUUGUUUGUGAAGGACUUGCUCUGUAAGCAAACGAGAGCCGCAGUGACCAGGUGGCUGGGACUGUUUAUUAAAAACACAGCACUGUGCAAAAUCGUAAGAUGACGUAUACGGUGUGACACCUGCCCGGUGCCGGAAGGUUAAUUGAUGGGGUUAGCUUAGGCGAAGCUCUUGAUCGAAGCCCCGGUAAACGGCGGCCGUAACUAUAACGGUCCUAAGGUAGCGAAAUUCCUUGUCGGGUAAGUUCCGACCUGCACGAAUGGUGUAACCAUGGCCACGCUGUCUCCACCCGAGACUCAGUGAAAUUGAAAUCGCAGUGAAGAUGCUGUGUACCCGCGGCUAGACGGAAAGACCCCGUGAACCUUUACUACAGCUUGGCACUGAACAUUGACCCUACAUGUGUAGGAUAGGUGGGAGGCUUUGAAGCAGAGACGCUAGUUUCUGUGGAGCCGACCUUGAAAUACCACCCUUGUAGUGUUGAUGUUCUAACUUAGGCCCCUGAAUCGGGGUUGAGGACAGUGCCUGGUGGGUAGUUUGACUGGGGCGGUCUCCUCCCAAAGAGUAACGGAGGAGCACGAAGGUUUGCUAAGUACGGUCGGACAUCGUACGGUUAGUGUAAUGGUAGAAGCAAGCUUAACUGCGAGACAGACACGUCGAGCAGGUACGAAAGUAGGUCAUAGUGAUCCGGUGGUUCUGAAUGGAAGGGCCAUCGCUCAACGGAUAAAAGGUACUCCGGGGAUAACAGGCUGAUACCGCCCAAGAGUUCAUAUCGACGGCGGUGUUUGGCACCUCGAUGUCGGCUCAUCACAUCCUGGGGCUGAAGUCGGUCCCAAGGGUAUGGCUGUUCGCCAUUUAAAGUGGUACGCGAGCUGGGUUUAGAACGUCGUGAGACAGUUCGGUCCCUAUCUGCCGUGGGCGUUUGAGAAUUGAGAGGGGCUGCUCCUAGUACGAGAGGACCGGAGUGGACGAACCGCUGGUGUUCGGGUUGUGAUGCCAAUUGCAUUGCCCGGUAGCUACGUUCGGAACUGAUAACCGCUGAAAGCAUCUAAGCGGGAAGCAGGCCUCGAGAUGAGUUCUCACUUUGACUUAGAGUCAACUGAAGGGCCGUUGAAGACUACAACGUUGAUAGGCGAGAUGUGGAAGUGCUGUGAGGCAUUAAGCUAACUCGUACUAAUUACCCGUGAGGCUUAACCAU